UACGUAGGGUGCGAGCGUUUGUCCGGAAUUAUUGGGCGUAAAGAGCUUGUAGGCGGUUUGUCGCGUCUGCUGUGAAAUUUCGGGGCUCAACCCCGAACUUGCAGUGGGUACGGGCAGACUAGAGUGUGGUAGGGGAGACUGGAAUUCCUGGUGUAGCGGUGAAAUGCGCAGAUAUCAGGAGGAACACCGAUGGCGAAGGCAGGUCUCUGGGCCAUAACUGACGCUGAGAAGCGAAAGCAUGGGGAGCGAACAGGAUUAGAUC
rnacentral:rRNA from 1 species